rnacentral:sRNA from 1 species
AUUUAGGAAAUGCAAUGGAAUUAAAAACUAUACCCUAAAACUAUACACUAAAAGACAUUAUUGAAAUGUAGUGAAAUUCAAAACUAUACACUAAAAGACAAAGAGAGAAGACUAAACCCAAGGAAAACCAUAUAUCAUAUGGAAUGAAGUUUAAAACUAUACCCUAAAGCCUUAGAUUACUAGAAUUUAGAAUUCCAAGUAAAUAAAU